CGCUCUGGUGGCCUAGUGGUUAGAGCGUCCUCCUCGGAUGUGAGAGGUCAUGGGUUCAAACUCCAGCCGAGUCA